UACGGAGGGUGCAAGCGUUAUCCGGAUUCACUGGGUUUAAAGGGUGCGUAGGUGGCUUUGUAAGUCAGCGGUGAAAGCCUGGAGCUCAACUCCAGAAUUGCCAUUGAUACUGCAGAGCUUGAAUCAAGUUGAGGUGGAUGGAAUAUUACAUGUAGCGGUGAAAUGCUUAGAUAUGUAAUAGAACACCGAUUGCGAAGGCAGUUCACUAAGCUUGUAUUGACACUGAGGCAUGAAAGCGUGGGGAUCAAACAGG
rnacentral:rRNA from 1 species